rnacentral:rRNA from 1 species
GUCCACGCCUUAAACGAUGGGCACUAGGUGUCGCGGGUAUUGACCCCUGCUGUGCCGCAGCUAACGCAUUAAGUGCCCCGCCUGGGGAAUACGGCCGCAAGGUUAAAACUCAAAGGAAUUGACGGGGGCCCCGCACAAGCGGUGGAGCAUGUGGUUCAAUUCGACGCAACGCGAAGAACCUUACCUGGGCUAGACAACGGUGGACCUCCUCAGAGAUGAGGAUUUCCCUUCGGGGACUGCCGGUUCAGGUGCUGCAUGGCUGUCGU